UACGUAGGGUCCGAGCGUUGUCCGGAAUUAUUGGGCGUAAAGGGCUCGUAGGCGGUUCGUCACGUCGGGAGUGAAAACUCGGAGCUUAACUCCGAGCCUGCUUCCGAUACGGGCAGACUAGAGGUAGGCAGGGGAGAGCGGAACUCCUGGUGUAGCGGUGGAAUGCGCAGAUAUCCUGAGGAACACCGGUGGCGAAAGCGGCGCGCUGGAUCCCUUCUGACGCUGAGGCGCGAAAGCCAGGGGAGCAAACGGG
rnacentral:rRNA from 1 species